GAGGGGCAGCCCAGUGGUAGACUGCUUGCCUAGUAUGCAUGAGACUCUGGGUUCAAUUCCCAGCACGACA
rnacentral:tRNA from 1 species